GUGCUCACUGCAGCAGCAUGUGUACCAGAAUUGGCAUGAUACUGAAAAGAUAAUCAUGGCCCCUGCACAAAGGUGGCACACAGAUUCUUGAAGCAUCCGUAUUUUGU
ensembl:snRNA U6 U6 spliceosomal RNA